CUUUUUGAUCGUUUCCCAUGUGUUGUCAGAUAGCUCCAUAGAAUUCAGUUUCUGAGAACCAGCCAGAAGCAUGCAGUGACGUUGCACAAUCUGCCUCUGAAGCUGGAGAUACUAGCUGCAGAGCUCAGGGGAGCUGCUCCACAUCACCGACAUGAAGGGAACAGGCAUCAUGGACUGUGCGCCCAAGGCACUCCUGGCCAGGGCACUUUAUGACAACUGCCCUGACUGCUCCGACGAGCUGGCUUUCAGCAGAGGGGACAUCCUGACCAUUCUGGAGCAACACGUGCCAGAAAGCGAGGGUUGGUGGAAGUGUUUGCUCCAUGGGAGGCAAGGCCUGGCCCCUGCCAACCGCCUCCAAAUCCUCACGGAGGUCGCUGCAGACAGGCCGUGCCCCCCAUUCCUGAGAGGCCUGGAAGAAGCUCCUGCCAGCUCAGAGGAGACCUAUCAGGUGCCCACUCUACCCCGCCCUCCCACUCCAGGCCCCGUUUAUGAGCAGAUGAGGAGUUGGGCGGAGGGGCCCCAGCCCCCUACUGCCCAAGUCUAUGAAUUCCCCGACCCUCCCACCAGUGCCAGAAUCAUCUGUGAAAAGACUCUCAGCUUUCCAAAACAGGCCAUCCUCAUGCUUCCCAGACCUGUCCGGGCCUCACUGCCGACUCUGCCUUCCCAGGUGUAUGACGUGCCUACCCAGCGCCGGGGCCCCGUGGUCCUGAAGGAGCCAGAGAAGCAGCAGUUAUACGACAUACCAGCCAGCCCCAAGAAGGCAGGACUCCAUCCCCCAGCCAGCCAAGCAAGUGGGCAGGGUGUUCCCCUGAUAUCAGUGACUACCUUAAGAGGAGGCGGCUACAGCACAUUACCAAAUCCUCAGAAAUCGGAAUGGAUUUAUGACACUCCAGUGUCUCCAGGAAAGGCUAGCGUCAGAAACACGCCUCUCACCAGCUUUGCAGAAGAAUCAAGGCCCCACGCUCUCCCCAUUUGCAGCUCCACUUUCCACAAUCCUCCAAGUGGCAGAUCCAGGUCCCUCACUCCACAACUGAAUAACAAUGUGCCCAUGCAGAAAAAACUCAGCCUUCCAGAAAUUCCUUCUUAUGGCUUUCUUGUACCCAGAGGCACAUUUCCUUUGGAUGAAGAUGUCAGCUACAAGGUUCCUUCAAGCUUUCUGAUUCCCCGAGUGGAACAGCAGAACACCAAGCCCAAUAUUUAUGACAUCCCUAAAGCAAUGUCGAGUGUUUCUCAGGCUGGGAAGGAGCUGGAGAAAGCCAAGGAGGUGUCAGAGAAUUCCGUGGGCCAUAAUUCCUCAUGGUUCUCCAGACGGACAACUUCCCCAUCUCCUGAACCAGACAGAUUAUCAGGUUCCAGUUCUGACAGCAGAGCUAGCGUCGUUUCCUCGUGCUCCACCACAUCCACCGACGACUCCUCCAGCUCUUCCUCGGAGGAGUCAGCAAAGGAGCUCUCCUUGGACCUGGAUGUGGCCAAGGAGACAGUGAUGGCUCUGCAGCACAAGGUGGUCAGCUCUGUCGCUGGCCUGAUGCUCUUUGUCAGCAGGAAGUGGAGAUUCCGAGACUAUCUGGAGGCCAACAUUGAUGCAAUCCACAGGUCCACUGAUCACAUAGAAGAAUCUGUAAGAGAAUUUCUGGAUUUUGCCCGAGGAGUCCAUGGGACUGCCUGUAACCUCACUGACAGUAACCUUCAGAACAGAAUUCGGGACCAGAUGCAGACCAUCUCCAACUCCUACCGCAUCCUGCUUGAAACAAAGGAAAGCUUGGAUAAUUGCAAUUGGCCUCUGGAAGUUCUUGUGACUGACAGUGUCCAGAACAGCCCAGAUGACCUUGAGAGGUUUGUCAUGGUGGCACGGAUGCUUCCAGAAGACAUCAAGAGGUUUGCCUCCAUUGUCAUUGCCAAUGGAAGGCUCCUUUUUAAGCGGAACUGUGAAAAGGAAGAGACUGUGCAGUUGACCCCAAAUGCAGAAUUUAAGUGUGAAAAAUACAUCCAGCCUCCCCAAAGAGAAACUGAAUCACACCAAAGGAGUACCCCUUCCACUAAGCAAAGGGAAGAUGAACACUCUUCUGAACUAUUAAAGAAAAAUAGAGCAAAUAUCUGUGGACAGGUGAGUUCAGAGUUCCAAGUGAUCGAAAAAGGGGCUUCAGUUGUUACCUAGAGUAGUGGCUACUAAGAUGCUGAGACUCUUUCCAUAGUGUAUAGGCUUUGGGGAGACACUGGUUCCAUUUUCUAGAAAAUAAAAUUUAUGAAAGUAAAAUUCUUGAUGAAAUCUUAUUAACAAGUCAGAUAAAGAUAGGUCAGCAUAGGCAGAUAAGUCGGUUGAUUUGGAUUUCUUCCGAAAACUUUUGGCAUUCAAGUUUACCAUAUUAGAAUUAAAAGGGAUUUUUAAAUUUCUUAAAAAUUUAUUAUUUGAGUAGAUUUUUAAAACCUCACCACCAAGUCUCCUUGCAUUUUUGAAAGUUAUAAAUUGAGUCAUUCUCAGUGUGUUUCUUAGCAACGAAAGAGGAAGUAGAAACAUCCUUUCAAAUUGCUCAUGGUCUGAUCAGCCUCCAGACUUCAGAUACUCUUAGAAAUACUUUUCUGAGGCUGGGCGUGGUGGCUUAUGCCUGUAAUUCCAACGCUUUGGGAGGCCAACGCAGGAGGAUCCCUUGAGGCAGGAGUUUGAGACCAGGCUGGGCAACAUAGUGAGACCCCAGCUGUACAAAAUUUAUUUUUAAAUAUCCAGGUGUAGUGGCUCAUGCACUUGGGAGGCUGAGUAGGGGUAUCCCUUGAGACCAGGAGUUUGGGGUUACAGAGAGCUAUGAUGGCGCCACUGCACUCCAGCCUUGGUGACAGAGCAAGAGUUAAUCUCUAAAAAAAAGAAAAGAAAAAAAA
rnacentral:sRNA from 1 species